rnacentral:tRNA from 1 species
GAAGAUUUAGUUAAAUUAUAACGUUAGAGUGUCAAUCUAAAAUUAUCUCAAAGAUACUCUUCU